UUGACUGUUGCUUUUCCUAAUACUACUUGUGAAUUUAUAUUUAAGAAUCAUUAUAGAAAUAACUCUACUCCUAAUAGUCAGAAGUAAAAUUGGUCUUAUUUGAACUCACUUCAUCCAGUGAUGCUUUCCCAAUACCUCCCGUGAAGAUCCUAUCAGGGCUCCCCCUAAAUUUGAGAGACCUCUCACUUCCAGUUAAACAUUCUUCCAAGUGCUUGGAUAGUUACAAAAGCAUAAGAAUGAUGACAAAAAAUUGCAAGUC
rnacentral:lncRNA from 1 species